ACACAGUUAUUUAUUUAUUUUUUUAAGGUCCAAACUCCUGUGCAGAGCAAGCAUCCAAAUGCUGUCAUCCUCUCAGCCCCAUGCUCUAGCUCAUUUUUCACACCACUGGAUUUAAUUUACUAUUAUCGUGCCUGGAAUGUGUUUGCAUCUGUAUUCUUGAGAGAUUGCUAUACAGCUCAUUUGAGUUCCCUGUGUUUCAGGCCUCACAAGAUUAAAACUUGGUAAGAAAGUAGACACGGAAGUGUGUCUCUGUCCAGUUCCACCUAAACUGUGCUGGCAGAAACUUUGGCUCCUGCUGCUUAGCUCCUUCAGCGACCUGCGAGUCUGUCUCACGAAAAGAUACCGACCGCCAUCUUGAAUUUCUAAGCACUAAACACGAAGAGAUGG
rnacentral:lncRNA from 1 species